CUUGAGUUUUGAAUUGACUCUAUAAAUCCACAUCUUGAAGAAAUCUUCAUUUGGAUUGGUUACCAUGACAUACGGUGAGAGCUUAUGGGAUGCAUUUAGAUGGAACCUACCCAGAAGAUAUGGAAAUUACUAGUCAAAUACAAAGCAAGGAAAUGGUUGCAAAUUUCAGUUACUUCACAUCUUCACAAAGCUAUUGGUUUACUGAAUCAGAGAUUUACCUGGAAGUGACGGUCGACGAUGGAGAUCGGCAUCUAUGGAAGCUUUAACUCAGCUGAACCAAUCUUUCCUUUUCUGUCCAUUAGGUUUCCUUUGACUUUACUUUACUUUUCUUUCUUUUUUUUGUCUUAGUUUUAGUUUAUUUGGAAUGGAUCGAGUCUACUUUGGACUUUGCAUUUUGCUUAAUUUUGUACAGAUCUAUUUUAAUUAAAUGAGGCUCACGGGUCUCACCAAAAAGUUGAAUAAAAG
rnacentral:lncRNA from 1 species